AUACACACAAAAUGGAGGGUAUGCGUGUGUGUGUCCUUGACUGAAUGUGAGCAUCCAAGGCCGGGUGGAGAGGGGGGACUCCUUAACCUCCAUAAAUCAUCAAAAAUAAUCAAAUUCUGGUUCCUGAGUGGAAGAUUCCCAGCGUGCUGCUUGUGAGGAAAGCUGCAUUGGGAGGGGUCCCAAAGAAGAGAGAGAGAAGAAAAGGAGUGAGACGCAAUGGAGGGAUGAGGGUGUUCGGAGAGUGAGAGAUCUGUGCUCGACGUGACAAGGUCUUGAUGUGGUUUUUCGUCUCCACCAAGAUGGAUUUUAAUGUCUAUGAUUCUUUUGUUAUUUUUUUAGCUUUUUUUGGGGGGGGGGGUCAGACUUUGAGGAGCCUCUUGGGGAUGUUCAACAUCACGCGUGCCAUUGAAGAUCAUGAUGAAGUGGUAGCCCAGUCCAGUGACGCAACUCAAGACAGCCACCAAUUAUGAGGAUAUGAUACAAAGGAAGAUUUGUUGUGUUUAACACGUGCGAGGUGAUCAGAAUUCCAGGAGGUGAGAAGAGUACAAACUGGCCACAAUACACAAGUAUUGGCAAAAUCAAAAUGGCAGCCAUUUAGUAGUUACGUUUUAAUAAAAAAUCAAACACAACUGAGGGGAGCAGAAUUCAAUAUUGCCAUCAUUUAAAAAGAGGUGUUACAAACUCAAAAUGGCAUUCAUUCAAUGGGUUUUGAAACACAGCCAGAGAGCUUCCGAUUCGAUUAAAUCUGUAGUCUUGUGUAGAAUUCUGGCUCAAUCAAUUGUCAAAAAAUGUCACCCUUUAUUUGACUUGAAAGAUUAGUGUACUAACAGGUGAGUGUUGUUAACCAUAACCUCUAGGAAGGAUGCAUAAGACUUCAAGGGCUUUCGUGAGCGUUUAAUUUUUUACAAAAUGUAUAAAUUGACAUAUUUACAGUGAAAACAAAGGAAAUUGUCUUUGAAUUUGACUUUUGUCUCAAACCCAAACAAGGAAGUGAGCUGCCUAUUGACGUCACCUGUUGCCAGCUCGACAGCCAUCUUGAACGCUCUCUAACUUGGCAUAGCAACAAGCUAAUGCUAAUUAAAAAUGACUACAUCACUCAAAUUCUACCAUUAAAAUUCAUUAUUUAUACUUCAAGUGAUAUUUUUCUUACACUUGAACAUUUAUGAGUCCAAUUUGCUGUGCUUCUGGAUAAAAAUGAAGUGCCAGUGAGGCAGUUGAAGCCAAAGAAGCACACACCCUUGAGGCUCAUCAACUUCAAAUAACUACGACGACAGAGGCUAAAACACAACAAUCAACUGUCUUCCGGACUUGUUGAGUGUUUGUGGGGAUUUCAAUAGGGUCAAACAUCCGCUUUAAAGGCCCACAAGCAGGCUCAAGUUCCUUCCUGCCUGCUUUGGCUCCCUCUAGCCGCGCCUCCAUGUUUGCUUCUUAACGCACAAGCCGUGGCCUGGGCCGCUUGAAAAUGUUGCAGACAUGCCAAAUUAACCCCUAAAACUGGUCCUUCUUGGGCCCAACGCGUACUACACUUUACCACUUUGAAUCCCAAGCAAUAUUAGUCACCAUUGGCCACGAAAGGUCUGUUUAUUUCUUACCUUUCA